rnacentral:rRNA from 1 species
CAUAGCGACUAUCGUGGCAUAUCAAUAAGCGGAGGAAAAGGAACUAACAAGGAUUCCCUUAGUAACGGCGAGUGAAGCGGGAAGAGCUCAAAUUUGAAAUCUUCAAGGUUUUACCUUGACGAAUUGUAGUUUAAAGAAGUGUUUUCUGUUAGUGGAGUGGCAAAAGUUCUUUGGAAUAGGACAUCAUAGAGGGUGAGAAUCCCGUAUUUGAGUCAUUAUUUCCUAGCUUUGUGAUACACUUUCAAAGAGUCGGAUUGUUUGGGAAUGCAGUCCAAAAUGGGUGGUAAAUUUCAUCUAAAGCUAAAUAUUGGCGAGAGACCGAUAGCGAACAAGUACCGUGAGGGAAAGAUGAAAAGAACUUUGAAAAGAGAGUUAAACAGUACGUGAAAUUGUCAAAAGGGAAGCGUUUGACACCAGUGUUGUUUUUCUCGAAAAUCAAUUAUAGAAUGGCCUGAUUUUAGUGUUUAUUGACCUUAAAAGCUUUCUUCACUCUUUUCUUGUCUUUUUUAAUGCACUUUUCGUUUAACAAGUCAACAUCAGUUUCUUUUGUUGUAAAAGGGUCAUUGGAAGGUGGCUUUCUUUUCGGAGAAAGUGUUUAUAGCCUUUGAUCUCUGCAACCGGAGAGACUGAGGUCUGCAGCGUAGACUCUUCGGGGUUAGAUACAUUUGUGCUAAGCUAUAGCUUUUUAUAGACAACUUGUUGACUAUAUUUAGUCUUGUGGCUUACUCGCUUAUGCUAUUUUACCUACGCUUAGGAUGUUGAUAGUCACAGCGUGUAC